UCCUAGUUUCCUAGGCAGUUCCGCCUUUCGGCAUGGCAACACAGGACAAGGGUUGCGCUCGUUGCGGGACUUAACCCAACAUCUCACGACACGAGCUGACGACAACCAUGCAGCACCUCUGCUGGCUUCCUUGCGGAUCAGUCCAUGUUUCCAAAGACUUACUACCAGUAGUUCAAGCCCAGGUAAGGUUCUUCGCGUUGCGUCGAAUUAAACCACAUGCUCCACCGCUUGUGCGGGCCCCCGUCAAUUCCUUUGAGUUUCAACCUUGCGGCCGUACUCCCCAGGCGGCUCAUUUAAUGCGUUAGCUACGGCGCGGAAGGGGUCGAUACCUCCCACACCUAAUGAGCAUCGUUUAGGGCUAGGACUAC
rnacentral:misc_RNA from 1 species